GGGUUGUGAGGUUAAGCGACUAAGCGUACACGGUGGAUGCCCUGGCAGUCAGAGGCGAUGAAGGACGUGCUAAUCUGCGAUAAGCGUCGGUAAGGUGAUAUGAACCGUUAUAACCGGCGAUUUCCGAAUGGGGAAACCCAGUGUGUUUCGACACACUAUCAUUAACUGAAUCCAUAGGUUAAUGAGGCGAACCGGGGGAACUGAAACAUCUAAGUACCCCGAGGAAAAGAAAUCAACCGAGAUUCCCCCAGUAGCGGCGAGCGAACGGGGAGCAGCCCAGAGCCUGAAUCAGUGUGUGUGUUAGUGGAAGCGUCUGGAAAGGCGCGCGAUACAGGGUGACAGCCCCGUACACAAAAAUGCACAUAUUGUGAGCUCGAUGAGUAGGGCGGGACACGUGGUAUCCUGUCUGAAUAUGGGGGGACCAUCCUCCAAGGCUAAAUACUCCUGACUGACCGAUAGUGAACCAGUACCGUGAGGGAAAGGCGAAAAGAACCCCGGCGAGGGGAGUGAAAAAGAACCUGAAACCGUGUACGUACAAGCAGUGGGAGCCUCUUUUAUGGGGUGACUGCGUACCUUUUGUAUAAUGGGUCAGCGACUUAUAUUCUGUAGCAAGGUUAACCGAAUAGGGGAGCCGAAGGGAAACCGAGUCUUAACUGGGCGUUAAGUUGCAGGGUAUAGACCCGAAACCCGGUGAUCUAGCCAUGGGCAGGUUGAAGGUUGGGUAACACUAACUGGAGGACCGAACCGACUAAUGUUGAAAAAUUAGCGGAUGACUUGUGGCUGGGGGUGAAAGGCCAAUCAAACCGGGAGAUAGCUGGUUCUCCCCGAAAGCUAUUUAGGUAGCGCCUCGUGAAUUCAUCUCCGGGGGUAGAGCACUGUUUCGGCAAGGGGGUCAUCCCGACUUACCAACCCGAUGCAAACUGCGAAUACCGGAGAAUGUUAUCACGGGAGACACACGGCGGGUGCUAACGUCCGUCGUGAAGAGGGAAACAACCCAGACCGCCAGCUAAGGUCCCAAAGUCAUGGUUAAGUGGGAAACGAUGUGGGAAGGCCCAGACAGCCAGGAUGUUGGCUUAGAAGCAGCCAUCAUUUAAAGAAAGCGUAAUAGCUCACUGGUCGAGUCGGCCUGCGCGGAAGAUGUAACGGGGCUAAACCAUGCACCGAAGCUGCGGCAGCGACGCUGAUGCGUUGUUGGGUAGGGGAGCGUUCUGUAAGCCUGUGAAGGUGUGCUGUGAGGCAUGCUGGAGGUAUCAGAAGUGCGAAUGCUGACAUAAGUAACGAUAAAGCGGGUGAAAAGCCCGCUCGCCGGAAGACCAAGGGUUCCUGUCCAACGUUAAUCGGGGCAGGGUGAGUCGACCCCUAAGGCGAGGCCGAAAGGCGUAGUCGAUGGGAAACAGGUUAAUAUUCCUGUACUUGGUGUUACUGCGAAGGGGGGACGGAGAAGGCUAUGUUGGCCGGGCGACGGUUGUCCCGGUUUAAGCGUGUAGGCUGGUUUUCCAGGCAAAUCCGGAAAAUCAAGGCUGAGGCGUGAUGACGAGGCACUACGGUGCUGAAGCAACAAAUGCCCUGCUUCCAGGAAAAGCCUCUAAGCAUCAGGUAACAUCAAAUCGUACCCCAAACCGACACAGGUGGUCAGGUAGAGAAUACCAAGGCGCUUGAGAGAACUCGGGUGAAGGAACUAGGCAAAAUGGUGCCGUAACUUCGGGAGAAGGCACGCUGAUACGUAGGUGAAGUCCCUCGCGGAUGGAGCUGAAAUCAGUCGAAGAUACCAGCUGGCUGCAACUGUUUAUUAAAAACACAGCACUGUGCAAACACGAAAGUGGACGUAUACGGUGUGACGCCUGCCCGGUGCCGGAAGGUUAAUUGAUGGGGUCAGCGCAAGCGAAGCUCUUGAUCGAAGCCCCGGUAAACGGCGGCCGUAACUAUAACGGUCCUAAGGUAGCGAAAUUCCUUGUCGGGUAAGUUCCGACCUGCACGAAUGGCGUAAUGAUGGCCAGGCUGUCUCCACCCGAGACUCAGUGAAAUUGAACUCGCUGUGAAGAUGCAGUGUACCCGCGGCAAGACGGAAAGACCCCGUGAACCUUUACUAUAGCUUGACACUGAACAUUGAGCCUUGAUGUGUAGGAUAGGUGGGAGGCUUGGAAGUGUGGACGCCAGUCUGCAUGGAGCCGACCUUGAAAUACCACCCUUUAAUGUUUGAUGUUCUAACGUUGACCCGUAAUCCGGGUUGCGGACAGUGUCUGGUGGGUAGUUUGACUGGGGCGGUCUCCUCCUAAAGAGUAACGGAGGAGCACGAAGGUUGGCUAAUCCUGGUCGGACAUCAGGAGGUUAGUGCAAUGGCAUAAGCCAGCUUGACUGCGAGCGUGACGGCGCGAGCAGGUGCGAAAGCAGGUCAUAGUGAUCCGGUGGUUCUGAAUGGAAGGGCCAUCGCUCAACGGAUAAAAGGUACUCCGGGGAUAACAGGCUGAUACCGCCCAAGAGUUCAUAUCGACGGCGGUGUUUGGCACCUCGAUGUCGGCUCAUCACAUCCUGGGGCUGAAGUAGGUCCCAAGGGUAUGGCUGUUCGCCAUUUAAAGUGGUACGCGAGCUGGGUUUAGAACGUCGUGAGACAGUUCGGUCCCUAUCUGCCGUGGGCGCUGGAGAACUGAGGGGGGCUGCUCCUAGUACGAGAGGACCGGAGUGGACGCAUCACUGGUGUUCGGGUUGUCAUGCCAAUGGCACUGCCCGGUAGCUAAAUGCGGAAGAGAUAAGUGCUGAAAGCAUCUAAGCACGAAACUUGCCCCGAGAUGAGUUCUCCCUGAC
rnacentral:rRNA from 1 species